rnacentral:rRNA from 1 species
AUGGACUCCGGGAAAGAUCAAACUGAUGAGUUAUCGACGCUGAUAGAGGACAUCAUCUCGCUGGAGAGGGAGCGCAAAGACUUGCUUGGGUCCCUUACUCCCACGAUUUCUCGCUGGGAGGAUAUCCUCUCUGGAACAACAACAUGGAAGGGAUUCAUGGCCGACAACACAAUGCCCGUCCCUGUACACAAGAAGAAGACGGACUCGCCGCAGGUUAGAGACGACGAGAAACAACUCGUCGAUUCCAUCCUCCAAGACACGGAGGACCUGGGCCACCGGCUGCUAUCCAUGUCACAAUAUCUCUGGAUUUCCCAUGCCCGCGUCUCCUUGUACACGGCCGAUGAGCUGGUUUCCACAACAUCCAGAUUAAAGAAAAUCUCCAAGGAUUUCUACAAGGCUACCGAGGAGGCGGCAGAGGAGAAGAGGAAGGAAGAUAAGGAGGAGAGGGAUAGGAUGAGGAACAAGGAUGCAGCGAGGGAUCAGAUGAUGCUGACCAACGAAUUCUUGCGUCUCUCCUCCAGUGUCCUCGCUAGACCCAGCCUUUACAAGAAUGAGUUGGCGAUGAUGUUUACGGUGGAGGAUGAGGAGGAGUAUGAGAGGGUGAUGGAGGCGGAGAGGGAGUUGGAGAGGCAGAGGGAGAACUGCAAGCGGCGGAGAAGAAAGAAGCGGAGGCCGCGGAUUGUUUUGCAGAAGGACCUGCAGAUUGUGGAGGAGAAGCACAGUGUCAAGCAGGAAACCAAAUCCCCAACGGAGCAACUCAAAGAGUGGAUGGAUGAUGAGCUGGAAUUUUUCGCAGGCCACCGUAGCAUCUGGGAACGCUCUGAUGGCAGCAUGUCCGGACGGUGCGGCGGCUUCGAAGAUAAAACCACAUUGAGUCCUAUGCAGUUUACGCACUGCAUACCCGGUAUCAUCCCGCCCCGUGCCGCUGUCACUGGGAGCACAUUGCAGAUCUACUCCUUCAAAAUUGUUGAACUAAGUGAUGACCUCAAAUGGCCACUCAGGGUGUAUGGUGUGGUCGCUGCCCGAGACACCGUGGACCGCAACCGCAACCUUCUCUUCGCUCGGUCAAGGAUUAUGUGCCAAGUACUCACUCAAGAUGACUCUUAUCUGCGCUUGACUGGCCCUUCUCAUGCAAUUCUAGCUGUGGACUAUGUUGACUUUGAAGUCGAACUAAAAGUACGUGAUGGAGAUGAUGAGCUCAAUGAUACACAGUUGAUGUGUGCCAUCAACCGUUAUGAUGGCAACCGUUAUGAUGAAGCAGAUGACAACGGUGAGCACCGACCUUUACCGUUCGAUAGUCCCUUCUGUAGGGCAGAGUUGAGGUUUGAGAGGCUUCUUACAACGGUUCAAGCCACUAUUUUAUCCGUUCGUUUUAUUGGAGGGGAGUUUCCUUUCAAAUUCGGAGGCCAGGUUGCCUGUGUUAUUGAUGGCACACGUGAGAAGGUUGUUUUGUUUCAUUCCAUUGAAAAAAUUUCUAAAGAACAUGAAGUAGGUCUAGAUGGUUAUGUUCCUUUGUCAAGGAAUGUCGUUUCGGUAGAAAUUAGAGGAGGGUUGGAUGUUGUGGUAGAAGCCUACGGGCGUUCUGGCUCUACAUCUGGUCAUUUCUACUUCCCUUCCAAGUAUUGCAACACAAGUCAGGGUAGAUUUUUCGUCUGCGGUUCUGAGGUGGAGAUUACCGUUGCUUGGUCCCGGCUUGUGGGGGACAAGAUGGCGAUGUUGAUUGAGGGAUACACUACUCAGAUGUAG